CGUAGGCGAAUAAUUAAAAACACAGUAAAAGACUGAGGAAGAACCUCUUUAAUCUGUGUUCACUGAUUAUUUUGAGUGCUAAUGGCGGUUUUAGAAUUCUUGAAGUAAGGGUUAAAUUGUUGAUAUAGGAAGACUUUCGAUAGCGAAGGCAUUUACCGAGUUAGCUCUGACGCUAGGUACUAAAGCUUGGGUAGAAAGAGGAUUAGAGACCUCGUAGUCCUUGCCUUAAACAAUGAGUGUUCAACGUCUUAUAAGCCACGAGGCUUAUUGGGGGUUUAAAGCUAACGCGUGAAACACCGCCUGGGGAAUGUGGCCGCAAGGUCUAAACUCAAAGGAAUUGACGGAGGCUCAUACAAGG
rnacentral:rRNA from 1 species